UACAGAGGUCUCAAGCGUUGUUCGGAUUCAUUGGGCGUAAAGGGUGCGUAGGCGGCGCGGUAAGUCGGAUGUGAAAUCUUGGAGCUUAACUCCGAAACUGCAUUCGAUACUGCCGUGCUUGAGGACUGGAGAGGAGACUGGAAUUUACGGUGUAGCAGUGAAAUGCGUAGAUAUCGUAAGGAAGACCAGUGGCGAAGGCGGGGUCUCUGGACAGUUCCUGACACUGAGGCACGAAGGCCAGGGGAGCAAACGGGG
rnacentral:rRNA from 1 species